rnacentral:rRNA from 1 species
GACGAACGCUGGCGGCGUGCUUAACACAUGCAAGUCGAACGAUGAAGCCCUUCGGGGUGGAUUAGUGGCGAACGGGUGAGUAACACGUGGGCAAUCUGCCCUUCACUCUGGGACAAGCCCUGGAAACGGGGUCUAAUACCGGAUAACACUCUGUCCCGCAUGGGACGGGGUUAAAAGCUCCGGCGGUGAAGGAUGAGCCCGCGGCCUAUCAGCUUGUUGGUGGGGUAAUGGCCUACCAAGGCGACGACGGGUAGCCGGCCUGAGAGGGCGACCGGCCACACUGGGACUGAGACACGGCCCAGACUCCUACGGGAGGCAGCAGUGGGGAAUAUUGCACAAUGGGCGAAAGCCUGAUGCAGCGACGCCGCGUGAGGGAUGACGGCCUUCGGGUUGUAAACCUCUUUCAGCAGGGAAGAAGCGCAAGUGACGGUACCUGCAGAAGAAGCACCGGCUAACUACGUGCCAGCAGCCGCGGUAAUACGUAGGGUGCGAGCGUUGUCCGGAAUUAUUGGGCGUAAAGAGCUCGUAGGCGGCUUGUCACGUCGGAUGUGAAAGCUCGGGGCUUAACCCCGAGUCUGCAUUCGAUACGGGCUAGCUAGAGUGUGGUAGGGGAGAUCGGAAUUCCUGGUGUAGCGGUGAAAUGCGCAGAUAUCAGGAGGAACACCGGUGGCGAAGGCGGAUCUCUGGGCCAUUACUGACGCUGAGGAGCGAAAGCGUGGGG